rnacentral:tRNA from 1 species
GCCUUCUUAGCUCAGUGGUAGAGCUUUGGUCUUAUAAACCAAAGGCCAAGAGUUCAAUCCUCUCAGGAGGCA